UGGGGAAUUUUGGACAAUGGGCGAAAGCCUGAUCCAGCAAUGCCGCGUGUGUGAAGAAGGCCUUCGGGUUGUAAAGCACUUUUGUCCGGAAAGAAAUCCUUGGCUCUAAUACAGUCGGGGGAUGACGGUACCGGAAGAAUAAGCACCGGCUAACUACGUGCCAGCAGCCGCGGUAAUACGUAGGGUGCAAGCGUUAAUCGGAAUUACUGGGCGUAAAGCGUGCGCAGGCGGUUUGCUAAGACCGAUGUGAAAUCCCCGGGCUCAACCUGGGAACUGCAUUGGUGACUGGCAGGGCUAGAGUAUGGCAGAGGGGGGUAGAAUUCCACGUGUAGCAGUGAAAUGCGUAGAGAUGUGGAGGAAUACCGAUGGCGAAGGCAGCCCCCUGGGCCAAGUACUGACGCUCAUGCACGAAAGCGUGGGGAGCAAAACAGGAUUAGUACCCUGGUAGUCCCACGCCCUAAACGAUGUCAACUAGUUGUUGGGGAUUCAUUUCCUUAGUAACGUAGCUAACGCGUGAAGUUGACCGCCUGGGGAGUACGGUCGCAAGAUUAAAACUCAAAUGAAUUGACGGGGUCAUAGCUGUUUCCU
rnacentral:rRNA from 1 species